AACGAACGCUGGCGGCGCGCUUAACACAUGCAAGUCGAGCGGUCUGGGGGCAACUCCAGGCAGCGGCGGACGGGUGCGUAACACGUGGAUAAUCUGCCCUAGAGACGGGGAUAACCAGCCGAAAGGUUAGCUAAUACCCGGUAAGCUCACGGACCCGAAGGGGUCAGGGAGAAAAGUCGCAAGACGCUCUAGGAUGAGUCCGCGGCCCAUCAGGUAGUUGGCGGGGUAAAGGCCCACCAAGCCUACGACGGGUAGCUGGUCUGAGAGGACGACCAGCCACACUGGAACUGAGACACGGUCCAGACUCCUACGGGAGGCAGCAGUGGGGAAUCUUGCGCAAUGGGCGAAAGCCUGACGCAGCGACGCCGCGUGUGCGAUGAAGGUCUUCGGAUCGUAAAGCACUGUCGCCCGGGAAAAAGAAGUGAUGGUACCGGGAGAGGAAGCACCGGCUAACUCUGUGCCAGCAGCCGCGGUAAU
rnacentral:rRNA from 1 species